GAUGAACGCUGGCGGCGUGCUUAACACAUGCAAGUCGAACGGAAAGGCCAGUGCUUGCACUGGUACUCGAGUGGCGAACGGGUGAGUAACACGUGGGUGAUCUGCCCUGUACUUCGGGAUAAGCUUGGGAAACUGGGUCUAAUACCGGAUAGGACAACUUUUUGGAUAUUGUUGUGGAAAGCUUUUGCGGUAUGGGAUGAGCUCGCGGCCUAUCAGCUUGUUGGUGGGGUAAUGGCCUACCAAGGCGUCGACGGGUAGCCGGCCUGAGAGGGUGUACGGCCACAUUGGGACCGAGAUACGGCCCAGACUCCUACGGGAGGCAGCAGUGGGGAAUAUUGCACAAUGGGCGCAAGCCUGAUGCAGCGACGCCGCGUGGGGGAUGAAGGCCUUCGGGUUGUAAACUCCUUUCGCUAGGGACGAAGCUUUUUUGUGACGGUACCUGGAGAAGAAGCACCGGCUAACUACGUG
rnacentral:rRNA from 1 species